rnacentral:rRNA from 1 species
AUGCAAGUCGAGCGGGCGUAGCAAUACGUCAGCGGCAGACGGGUGAGUAACGCGUGGGAACGUACCUUUUGGUUCGGAACAACACAGGGAAACUUGUGCUAAUACCGGAUAAGCCCUUACGGGGAAAGAUUUAUCGCCGAAAGAUCGGCCCGCGUCUGAUUAGCUAGUUGGUAGGGUAAUGGCCUACCAAGGCGACGAUCAGUAGCUGGUCUGAGAGGAUGAUCAGCCACAUUGGGACUGAGACACGGCCCAAACUCCUACGGGAGGCAGCAGUGGGGAAUAUUGGACAAUGGGGGCAACCCUGAUCCAGCCAUGCCGCGUGAGUGAUGAAGGCCCUAGGGUUGUAAAGCUCUUUUGUGCGGGAAGAUAAUGACGGUACCGCAAGAAUAAGCCCCGGCUAACUUCGUGCCAGCAGCCGCGGUAAUACGAAGGGGGCUAGCGUUGCUCGGAAUCACUGGGCGUAAAGGGUGCGUAGGCGGGUCUUUAAGUCAGGGGUGAAAUCCUGGAGCUCAACUCCAGAACUGCCUUUGAUACUGAAGAUCUUGAGUCCGGGAGAGGUGAGUGGAACUGCGAGUGUAGAGGUGAAAUUCGUAGAUAUUCGCAAGAACACCAGUGGCGAAGGC